rfam:Asian citrus Psyllid, Diaphorina citri - Florida Strain, whole genome shotgun sequence.
GCUCCCAUGGCGUCGUGGUCACUGCGCUCGCCUUGCACGCGGGAGACCCGGGUUCGAUUCCCCGGCGGGGUCA